rnacentral:rRNA from 1 species
UACGUAGGUGACCAGCGUUGUCCGGAUUUACUGGGCGUAAAGCGUCCGCAGGUGGCUGUUCAAGUCUGCUGUCAAAGCGCAGAGCUUAACUCUGUACAGGCGGUGGAAACUGAAGAGCUAGAGUAUGGUAGGGGUAGAGGGAAUUCCCGGUGUAGCGGUGAAAUGCGUAGAUAUCGGGAAGAACACCAGUGGCGAAAGCGCUCUACUGGGCCAUAACUGACACUGAGGGACGAAAGCUAGGGGAGCGAAAGGG